GGUGACCUGCGGAGGAUCAUUAAUGAAAUUAUAAUCCGGCGAGGGAAAGGAAGGAGGGUUGUAGCUGGCCCUAGGGCACGUGCACGCUCUCUUUCUGGACUUUUCGCCAGUAUGGGCGUGGGGCAACCCGCGUCUUCAUAUACCUCUUCGUGUAGAAAGUCUUUGAACGUUUUUACCAUCAUCGAGUCGCGACUUCCAGGAGACGCGAUUCUUUGAGACAAAAGUUAUUACAACUUUCAGCAACGGAUCUCUUGGCUCUCGCAUCGAUGAAGAACGCAGCGAAUCGCGAUAUGUAAUGUGAAUUGCAGAUCUACAGUGAAUCAUCGAAUCUUUGAACGCACCUUGCGCUCCUCGGUGUUCCGAGGAGCAUGCCUGUUUGAGUGUCAGUAAAUUCUCAACCCCUCUCGAUUUGCUUCGAGCGGGUGCUUGGAUGGUGGAGGCUGCCGGAGACCUUCCAGGACUCGGGCUCCUCUGAAAUGAAUCGGCUUGCGGUCGACUUUCGACUUUGCAUGACAAGGCCUUUGGCGUGAUAAUGAUCGCCGUUCGCCGAAGUGCACGACAGAACGGUCCCGUGCCUCUAAUGCGUCGACGCCUUCGGGCCGUCUUCCUCAUUGACGUUGACCUCAAAUC
rnacentral:rRNA from 1 species